AAGUGUGCUGCGUAGGUGCCUUAGUUUUGCAAAAACUAAUGAGAAAUUGUUUUCCGCACUUU
rnacentral:tRNA from 1 species